GAUUGAACGCUGGCGGCAUGCCUUACACAUGCAAGUCGAACGGCAGCACGGGUGCUUGCACCUGGUGGCGAGUGGCGAACGGGUGAGUAAUACAUCGGAACAUGUCCUGUAGUGGGGGAUAGCCCGGCGAAAGCCGGAUUAAUACCGCAUACGAUCUACGGAUGAAAGCGGGGGACCUUCGGGCCUCGCGCUAUAGGGUUGGCCGAUGGCUGAUUAGCUAGUUGGUGGGGUAAAGGCCUACCAAGGCGACGAUCAGUAGCUGGUCUGAGAGGACGACCAGCCACACUGGGACUGAGACACGGCCCAGACUCCUACGGGAGGCAGCAGUGGGGAAUUUUGGACAAUGGGCGAAAGCCUGAUCCAGCAAUGCCGCGUGUGUGAAGAAGGCCUUCGGGUUGUAAAGCACUUUUGUCCGGAAAGAAAUCCUUGGCUCUAAUACAGUCGGGGGAUGACGGUACCGGAAGAAUAAGCACCGGCUAACUACGUGCCAGCAGCCGCGGUAAUACGUAGGGUGCGAGCGUUAAUCGGAAUUACUGGGCGUAAAGCGUGCGCAGGCGGUUUGCUAAGACCGAUGUGAAAUCCCCGGGCUCAACCUGGGAACUGCAUUGGUGACUGGCAGGCUAGAGUAUGGCAGAGGGGGGUAGAAUUCCACGUGUAGCAGUGAAAUGCGUAGAGAUGUGGAGGAAUACCGAUGGCGAAGGCAGCCCCCUGGGCCAAUACUGACGCUCAUGCACGAAAGCGUGGGGGAGCAAACAGGAUUAGAUACCCUGGUAGUCCACGCCCUAAACGAUGUCAACUAGUUGUUGGGGAUUCAUUUCCUUAGUAACGUAGCUAACGCGUGAAGUUGACCGCCUGGGGAGUACGGUCGCAAGAUUAAAACUCAAAGGAAUUGACGGGGACCCGCACAAGCGGUGGAUGAUGUGGAUUAAUUCGAUGCAACGCGAAAAACCUUACCUACCCUUGACAUGGUCGGAAUCCCGCUGAGAGGUGGGAGUGCUCGAAAGAGAACCGGCGCACAGGUGCUGCAUGGCUGUCGUCAGCUCGUGUCGUGAGAUGUUGGGUUAAGUCCCGCAACGAGCGCAACCCUUGUCCUUAGUUGCUACGCAAGAGCACUCUAAGGAGACUGCCGGUGACAAACCGGAGGAAGGUGGGGAUGACGUCAAGUCCUCAUGGCCCUUAUGGGUAGGGCUUCACACGUCAUACAAUGGUCGGAACAGAGGGUUGCCAACCCGCGAGGGGGAGCUAAUCCCAGAAAACCGAUCGUAGUCCGGAUUGCACUCUGCAACUCGAGUGCAUGAAGCUGGAAUCGCUAGUAAUCGCGGAUCAGCAUGCCGCGGUGAAUACGUUCCCGGGUCUUGUACUCACCGCC
rnacentral:rRNA from 1 species